ACACAAGAAACACAACAAAGACGACUGUUUAAAGGCCAGUGAAAAGACAUAAUCGGAUAUAAGGGAGCAACGUACCUCACACCUUUCUGCACCUUUCUGGUGUUGACUCUUGUUUUAACUACUAGCCUGUGUCCUCAGAAUAUUGUUCUCAAUAUUUUAUUUUUUUUUUUUUACUUCAUCCACACAUACUCUUGUUCAAUGCGAUAACACAUACGUUGCAGAGAGGUUUACUGUACAGAGCUAUAACUGUUGAGAGUAUUUUAUGGCUUCGCUGACAUUUAACUUGCCCUCCUGUGGCACAUAGCACUGAAGCUAGUUGUCUUUCAGUAUCUGGUAUGUUUCGAGCAGCGAGCCACAUACAGAAGCCUAUAUGGUUUAUCUGUGGUGUUUUCACAUGUUGAUUCCGAUCAAACUAAUGAAUGGAGGCAGUGAUAGAUCUGGAGCUGAUUGACACAUCAGCUUGAAUUUCCUGCUGUUUUGUAUUUACUUAUAUGUUUGGCUUGACUUUCAUAGUGCUGUUCCUCUCUGCUUCUUCAAACUGGGGGCUUACCCACCCAUUUUGUCUCUUUGCUCAUUGGUACACAACAAAACACUUAAAUAAGCGUAAAAAUAAAAGCGUAAAAAACAGAAAACUAUCCAACAAAACGAUAUACUGACGAUGGGUAAGAAUGACCUUACUUCAAACAAAUCAAACCAACCAUUUAGGGGCGAGUUCCUACAGGUACUCAGAAAAAAAAAACAAAAUAAAAAACAGAAAAGAAUAACUAAGAAAAACAGCAUUUCUAUUUUUUUUUAAAAAAAGACAAAAAAAUCAAGAAGUCAUGUAUUUAUCAUUUGUCAUGACAUAUUAAAUGGAUAUAAAACCCCAUGUGAACAAAUGUUUUCUUUGUGAUGUCUACCCAGCACCUUCUUCUCCUCAUGACCCCAGUCGCAUUAUCUGCGUUAAAAUGCAAAUCCCAGUGGUAACGGCAUAUGGUUUUCAAAUUUUACGCUUGUUUGUCUCACAUUACUUUUGAACCACGUGUGACGACUUUCCACUGGGCCUCACUCACAUGUGGUACGAGUCUUGUCACGUUUGACGCAAUAUUACUUUUUAAAAACGGAAUUUGUGCACACAUUUGGGAUUUUCCAUUAUCUUUUUCUUUUCUUUUUUUUCCUAACAUGAUUCAGCAGCAUAAAGAGGAUCUAGUGAAUUUUUUUUUUUUUAAUUAUGAUUAUAUUUUUGUUUUGCAUGUGUCACCGGAACCAUGUGACUUCCUGCAUUAUGAAGAGAAACCUGCAGAUAUCAGGACAUUGCAGAAUUGACCUUAACUAACCUCUAUUCAUAACAUUAGCACAAAAGAGUAUAAUAUAUAAUAAUAUUAAUAAUAAUAAUAAUAAGACUUUACUUCUAACCUUUCCUCUGUGAGCAUUACUGAAAUUUCCAACAUUGACUUAAAGCACGGCACAGUCUGAACUCUAAGGAUACACUUGGCAGUGAGAGGGAUCUGACUCUUCAUGGGUCAUGUGGGCACUCAGCCGUGUUCCUCCGUGCCACAUGCUGAAUGCACUCUUUCACGGCGGCCUGGAUGUGUGACGCAGAAGCAUGACAGAAAAUACAGAUGAUCUACCCAGGCAGACGGGGCAGAUAAGGGUCAAAUUAAGUUCUCAGACUUCAAAUAACUAGCACAAAUCGACCCGGCCUCCGAAAGUGGAUUAAUAUUCCGGGUUCGGCCUGCCACUGCGGGGAUAAUGAGAAAUCUCAUCAAGAAUUGUAAUAUCAUUACUAGUGGUACAUUAGCAUCGGUUCUUUGAAAGGUCAACGGUAUAAUCGGCUUAAGAGGGCGCGGACUCUCGCUUUUUCUGCAUUGCCAACGUCACGGAGACACGUAGGAAUCGGCCUGUGACUUCAUCUGACUCAGAUCGCCACCAUGUUCCACGGAAACGUUCGGAACCAUUCCUGAACAGAGGACUGGGACGUCUCCUUGGGAUCGCUACCUUUCUUGCAGAGAGAGUCAGAGAUUCGCGCUUCGACCUGAGGGCAUCAAAAGUGCUGAACGAUCCAGAAUACCGGCCGAGUCCAUUAGAUCGCCUCCACGCUUGAACGUUGAGAUGUUCUUCUCGUUUCAUGUCUUCGGCACGUGUGGGACGUUGGAGAGUGCUGUCCAGUUACAGGAAUAGGAUGGAAUUCCCCAAAGUCUACUCUCUAUGUGACGUCCUCCUUAUGGUUAAAAAGAAACCGCAGUGAACUAGAUCCACCAACACUGACAGGUAACCAGGUAAAACUAUGUGCAUACAACCGAAUUUAUUAUUAAUCCCAUGAAGAACAAUACGCUAUUGUGUAAACUACAACUGUGUCUAUCUCCAGUGCAGAUGUGUCAAGUGUUAUACAGCAAUUAUUCUCAGCACAUCGAGCAGGCGUGUUUAUAUUCCACGUCCUCGCUCUGACGCCUGUCAGCCCCUUUGGAGCCAGAGUAAAGGAAAUAAAUUGAAAUUUCCUGGAAGUCCCCUCUGUGUGUCACAAUGCGUGCGGUGUCCUCCGGGGGCUACACGAAGCCGUUCCAUCGGACGGGGAGUGAAUGCAUGUUUGCAUAUGCAUUAUCAGGGGCAGACGUGGAAUGUCAAGUGACACAUGUGUCUCUUACAGAUACGUGGAAACGUGCGCGAAAAGUUGCCAUUCUUUAUCUGACCGUCAAAAAAUAAAUGCAAAUUUAUUUACGAUUAAAAGCAAAGAAGCCUUCUCAAACGCAGGAGUCCGCAUGUGCAUUUAAUAUAAACUGAUUAUGACAAUCAGGGAUUCAUACAUGUUCAUAAGAGUGUAAUUCUCUAUAGAUUAGUAUAAGUUUACGCUUCUCUCUCUUGUCCACAGCUCGAUCUGAGUCAGCUUUAACGCUGCACGCCCGCUGCCGCUGUGCUGAGCCGAAGACGGUGUUGACAACUUUGUUGCACUGUUUGCUCAAAGGGCUGUUUGCUUAUGUCUGAGCCAACAUGAGAGAGAGAGUAGAGGGAGACAAGGUUUUGGCGCUCGGCCAGCCAGGUCUACUCCUCUGGCGCGACACAAGACAGGAAGCUGACAUAAAAGAAUGGGGGACCGACUGUGAGGGACAGAGGAGCCAAGGCAGGAGCCGCUGACGAAGUCGGAAGUUAUUGUUUCAGCCCGCAGGCAUCCACGGUGACAAGAAUCUUAUAGUGCUAUUGAACUUGUUAUGAUCCCACAGCAAUGGCCACAAGUCUGGAGAGCAUCCCGGGACCUAAGCCUCAUCGCUGGAGCCUUUCCCCCUGACUAAAUGUAGUCACAAUAAGUGCUGCAGUGGAACUGUUUGCUAGCAAUCAUGGAUAUAAAGAGGUGCACACAAACCACUGCUGUUGAAAGCAGUGAUGAGGAAUAUAGUUUGCAUGAGCCUACUAGAUAUAUCGUAUGGCGAACUACACAACUAGAAUCAUUGAUAUUCUAAAUGAUGAUGCUGCUGCUGUUAUGCUGGAUUUCCAUACUCGGCCUACCUCCACCCCACUUUAAAUCGCUAUUUCCAUUGCUAGAAGGUUGGCUGAAUGAGGCCAAAGUGAUACUUUUCUGGGUACUUUUUAGUGCUUCCUCUGUGGUUGGUGCGAAGUAGGUGAAUUGGGGCUGAAAAUGUGACGUAGAACGUUGCUAACUACUGAUCGGUCAGAAAAAAAAAUCGUCACGAUGCAGCACCAGGUACAAAGCUGGAUGUUUUCACUAGAGAGAUGAGUGUUUUUGACUAGUCAUAAGCUGCUCACUUUCAACUUUCUGCUCUCGUGUCAUUAUUUUAAAUGAUGACUGGUAAAGUAAUGUCGUUCUGGACCAACCUGGACGUGAGGGCUUUUCUGUCCUUGUUGGGAGACGACAGUAAACAGCGGGAGUUGGACUUGGAACCACAAGGUUUUCCAGCGGAUGGCGGCUGAGAUGCCAAACUUGACUUUAUCAGGACGGUGAAACAAAUAAAGGAGAAACUUUAAAAAACUGAAAGCCGAAUAUCAGGCAGCCAAGGGCCACAACAAUACGAGUGGUGCUGACCGAAAGGUCCCGAAAUGGUAUGAGGAGAUGGACACGAUAUAGACCAGGGAGCGUCGGUAGGGAAGCUUUUCUUGAAUCCAUUACACCGUUGGCGCAGUUUUUAUCUUUUAUUACGUUCACUGUGUUCUGCUUCUGGUGGUUGUUUAAUGGUCUAAUGGUUGUUUUCUUUCGUUCACUGGUUGUUGGAACGUAACUUUACUGUGUAGCCCGCUGAUGCUAGUAGCAACAAGUGAAAACCUAAGCAAUGGAAAAGGUAGUUAAAAAAGAAAAGGUGGUUCGGCGCGUGGGUGGUUUAGAGGUAGGCCGUGUAUGGAAACCUGGCUUUAGAUGUCCUGUGUGAGGACGUCUUAACGUUCAAGCACCUGAAACAAGUGAUGUGAUGUGAUGUGGUGAUGGAUCACAGUGCAUCAAAAGUACACAACUUGCAUCAUUUCAGCUCACAACACUGAUCUCUCAGACCUGGAGUGACAUCCCUCCACAAUAAAAUGCUACAUUGCAUUGGUUUGUCAUCCUGUGUAAAGUGGUCGCUCUCUAUCAGACUGGUAGUUAACGUCCUAUUGCUUAUGGAGCGAAUAGAACUGGGAUUUCUUGACAAGACUUUACAAAAAAAAGUAACUCAGCUGGAUACAAAAUGUGAAUGACUAUGCACGUAACGACAGGGAGUCUACUGGAGGAGAAAUCCAAGACACCUGAAGCUUCAGCAGCUGAGAUGGAAGAGACUGUGCACUGCUCUGUUCCACUGCUUCUUCACUUCAAGCUAAGAGUUCACACAAGAAGACAACUGGAAACGAGCAAAGACCCUUCGUCUCUGGUCAAAGAAGACUGAAGACGAGUUCUUUGGACAUGGGAUGAGACUAUAUUAUCUGGGGAAUUACAGUUUUGGAGAAUUUUUCAUUAACCAGCGAGACAAUAACCUGGAGCAUGAAACGGACUGAACAAGGUGAAUGUUCUCGAGUCAAAGACCUUAAUCCGGUGGAGAAUCUGUAACUGAAAAGUGCCUUUCAGCCCUGAUCCUGAUCCUUGUGGAGGCCGGCAGAGGUUGAACAGCUCUGCAAAGGCAGAUCUGUAAGAUAACCUGAAAAAUUGAUCUAAAAAAUUGAUGGAGGUCAAUACUUUUUUUUUAUAUAUUACAUAUGACACUCUGUAAAGUUUUGUUUUGUAAACUCUUGUCAUAAAGCCAAAUUAUAUUGACCAGGAUUCCAUUUAUA